CAGCAGCCGCGGGAAUACGAAGGGGGCUAGCGUUGUUCGGAAUUACUGGGCGUAAAGCGCACGUAGGCGGAUAUUUAAGUCAGGGGUGAAAUCCCAGAGCUCAACUCUGGAACUGCCUUUGAUACUGAAGAUCUUGAGUUCGGGAGAGGUGAGUGGAACUGCGAGUGUAGAGGUGAAAUUCGUAGAUAUUCACAAGAACACCAGUGGCGAAGGCGGCUCACUGGCCCGAUACUGACGCUGAGGCACGAAAGCGUGGGGAGCAAACAGGAUUUGAUACCCCCGUAGUCCCUGUCUCUUAUAC
rnacentral:rRNA from 1 species